rnacentral:piRNA from 1 species
UUGCAGCUCAAUGAUGUGUAUGUAGGGC